ACACGACUACAUUAGAUACCCCCGUAGUCCAGGGUGUAAACGCUGCGGGCUUGGUGUUGGGGGUCCUUUGAGGGCGCCCAGUGCCGGAGAGAAGUUGUUAAGCCUGCUGCUUGGGGAGUACGUCCGCAAGGAUGAAACUUAAAGGAAUUGGCGGGGGAGCACCGCAACGGGAGGAGCGUGCGGUUCAAUUGGAUUCAACGCCGGACAACUCACCAGGAGCGACGGUUACAUGAAGGCCAGGCUGAUGACCCUGCCUGAUUUUCCG
rnacentral:rRNA from 1 species